rnacentral:lncRNA from 1 species
UUGCAGAAGUCGAUUGCUGACUCCCGUGUCAAACUUAUGGCAGAACUGGAAUGACUUCAACCCUGUAAAGAUUCUUUUCCAUUAUAGGCUAUUACAAGACAUUGCAUAUGGUUCCCUGUGCUGUACAGUAGGUCCUUGUUGGUUAUCUAUUUUUUACAUCAUAGGGUGUAUAUGUCAAUCUCAAAUUCCUAAUUUAUCUCCCCAGCCCCCAACCCUCCACUAUCCCCUCUGGUAACCCUAAGUUUGUUAUCUAUGUCAGAGAGUCUCUUUCUGUUUUAUAAGUAAAUUCAUUUGUAUCAUUUUUUUUUAGAUGCCACAUAUAAGUGACAUCGUAUGAUGUCUAACUUUGAGAAAGAGACUCAGAAUUUUGAGCCAGAAGAAAUGGGGAGAACACACGGAGCCCCACGGAGAUGGGGCCAGAUCCUCCCCUUCUUUCAUCGAAGGCUCUGGAGCCGCUGAACCCGCCCCUGCCUCUCACCUUGAUCCCACAGUGCGCAGGCGCCCUCCAACCCGCCACUCCGGGCCAUCCGCCACAACUGUGUGGCGCGAAGAGGUGGCCACACUGCCCUCUUGCCGGAAGCCCUCCUGGGGUUCCCAACAGUCCAUGGUAGGUCUUAACUCCGCCUCCAAGGGUCCUGGAUUCCCUGGCGGACCGUGUAAGCUACAAAGAUGGUGUAUGAGAUUUUGUUGAGGGGGCAGAUUUAUGGAUCCUCCUCCCUGUGCCCUCACUUCAACUGGAAAAACCCAGCAUUUGCCUUGUUUGUAUAUUGUAUUUUAUUUUAAAAAGGAUUCUGUUUUUUAAAAAAUAGCCUGCAAACCACACACGGAUAGAGUGGAAUCUUCCGGCAAAGGUCCUGUGGGCCUAGUGUGGUAAAGGGUUAGGGCUCAGCCAGGGGUGUUCUGUGCUGCCUCCCGUUUGUUUCCCAGGCUCCCUUGCAGGGAGUGGGCUAUGUGACAAGUCCCUGACCAUGACCUGAGAGUAGAGGUGACUCCUGUCAUUCCUGGGCUGAGGUAGCUAAGAGCCAGUGUAUCUCCUCCAUCUAUUUUCUCUACCUUGGUGACCCCAGAGGCCACUUGUUCAGGAUGUUGUAGCUACAAGAUGUCAGGUCAUGCAUUAGACUAGAUCCCUGAAUGACCGAAACGAAGGUUCUCUUUCACCCUGACCUACUUUAGACAGGUGAAUUAAGUGAAAAGCAAACUUAUAGCAGGGGAAAUCUCCAGAAUUUUGAGCUCUAUUUAUUAUUAGAGGAUAACAGUCCUAUCCUGGCAAAUGCAUCUGGCCUUUGUAAAUAUAUCAUUUGUAGUUGGUAUGUUGAUGUACUAGGUGGUUGAUUAAUUGAUUCGCUCAUUCAUUCAACAAUAGAUGUACUUGAGUAGCCGCUGAAUAUAUAGAAUGCCAGACAGCAUAAUAUCCAUAUAUAUAUGCUAUAGCUCAAGGGGUUCACAGUUGGGUCACUUUCUUUCUGGAACUUUCACAAGCCACACAACCCCAUAUAGCCCCUAAAUCUCAGUCAUUCUGAACCAUUCGUAUAUGGUCGAACUCACUGAAGCAUUUCCUGCUCUGUGCCCUUUCCUGCAGUGCUUCUCUUGCCUGUGGACUGGGAACUCCCGGGAUCUGCACAGCUGAUACCAUAACCCAGCUAGACCAUACUCUAACAUUUCCUAUUGUUCACAGAUCUUUUAAAUCCUUAUGGAAGAAAGUAAGUGGAAAGCCUAGUCGAGUCUACGUGGCCUCAGUGAAGUUGGACAGUGGGUCACAUGAUCCAAGGAGAGUGAAAACGUGUGCUGUUUAUUGCGAUGCUUCCUUUCAUGAUGCUCACCAUCCAGACACUAAGAAACACACCUGGAGCCCUUCUGCUGGCUAUGAUGGGCACGCUCUCCAUCCACUCUCAUGUCUUACAGCCACUGGCCACAUGUGGCUACUGAGCUGUGAAGACGAGGCUGAUGUGACUGAGGAACUAAAUUUUGAACUGAAAUCACUUUUAGUUAAUUGAAAUUUAAACAGACACAAGUGGCUAAUUGCCACUUUUUUAACCUAUGUGGCUCUAGAAGAUACUUAGAUCUGCUUCUCCGAUGUUUUAGUUACUAUAGCCUAAAUAUAAUAUAAAAAAAAAAAACAAAAAA